AAGUAAUGGAUUGGAAUGAUCAGAACUGCCUGACACAAUUUGAGUUUGCUAUAGCAAGAAAGUAUCACCUAUUCCAGUGUUCUCUCUUCACGAGACAAGCUGUUAUAAAAACUUAAACAGU
ensembl:snoRNA